ensembl:snRNA LOC120095813 U6 spliceosomal RNA
GUGCUCACUUCGGCAGCACCUAUACUAAAAUUGGAAGGAUACAGAGAAGAUUAGCCAUGCCCCCUGCUCAAGGAUGACACGCAAAUUCGUGAAGUGUUCGUAUUUUUU